rnacentral:rRNA from 1 species
GAUGAACGCUAGCUACAGGCUUAACACAUGCAAGUCGAGGGGUAACGAGAGGAAAGCUUGCUUUCCUUGUUGACGACCGGCGCACGGGUGAGUAACGCGUAUCCAACCUGCCCCCAACUAGGGAAUAACCUUGCGAAAGUAAGACUAAUACCCUAUACUUUCCUCAGAUGUCAUCUGACGAGGAAUAAAGAUUUAUCGGUUGUGGAUGGGGAUGCGUCUGAUUAGCUUGUUGGCGGGGUAACAGCCCACCAAGGCAACGAUCAGUAGGGGUUCUGAGAGGAAGGUCCCCCACAUUGGAACUGAGACACGGUCCAAACUCCUACGGGAGGCAGCAGUGAGGAAUAUUGGUCAAUGGGCGGAAGCCUGAACCAGCCAAGUAGCGUGCAGGAUGACGGCCCUAUGGGUUGUAAACUGCUUUUAUACAGGAAUAAAGUUAGCCACGUGUGGUUAUUUGUAGGUACUGUAUGAAUAAGGACCGGCUAAUUCCGUGCCAGCCGCCGCUGUAA